AUUGAACGCUGGCGGCAGGCCUAACACAUGCAAGUCGAGCGGAGCGGCGGACGGGUGAGUAAUGCCUAGGAAUCUGCCUGGUAGUGGGGGAGAAGGUCAGGAAACGGGCGCUAAAACCGCAUCCUAUAAGAUGAGCCUAGGUCGGAUUAGCUAGUGGGGGGGGUAAAGGCCUACCAAGGCGACGAUCCGUAACUGGACUGAGAGGAUGAUCAGUCACACUGGAACUGAGACACGGUCCAGACUCCUACGGGAGGCAGCAGUGGGGAAUAUUGGACAAUGGGCGAAAGCCUGAUCCAGCCAUGCCGCGUGUGUGAAGAAGGUCUUCGGAUUGUAAAGCACUUUAAGUUGGGAGGCGUUACCAACAGAAUAAGCACCGGCUAACUUCGUGCCAGCAGCCGCGGUAAUAC
rnacentral:rRNA from 1 species